rnacentral:tRNA from 1 species
GGUCGCGUAGCUCAGCUGGAUAGAGCAUCUGCCUUCUAAGCAGACGGUCAAAGGUUCGAAUCCUUUCGCGAUCACUA